rnacentral:lncRNA from 1 species
CCGUGCCCCUGCUCGCGCUGCAGCCCGUGGAAGGGUUCCGUCCAGCGUAUCCUUCAGAUCUUGCUGUAGGCCUCUGGUGUCUGUGCGCGCGCGGCAGGGGCGGCGGCGGCGACGGCCGGAGGUGUACGGUCAGCGGGUUGCGGAGGAUCGUGCGGGUCGCAAAGGGAAGCCGAGUGCUCCUGCGGCUCCCAGACUGCAACCAGGAACUAACCUGUCAGGUACUGAGAGGCUUUGAAGAUGGCUCUUCAGGUUGGGGACACACCUUUAUUAAGGGGCAAGACUGCUGCCAGGAGUUGAUUCACAUACUCAGAGGUGUAAAUCCAAACCGCUUCCAACUCAAGGCAAGUAACAGCCCACGGUGUUCUGGCAGGAAAACAUCAGCUAAGAAAGGAAACUGGGUCCUAUGGCUUGGACUUUCCAACUCUGACAGACCGGCAGGACAGAAACAACUGGUUCAGGAGCCCUUGCCAGCCUCUAGAGAAAUCCCAGAACACUCAGCCCUGAUGACACAUUAAUACCCUGCACAUAUUGGAGACUGCUGACCACGCAUACUCACCAAGCCACAGACUUGUCUUCCACAAGCACGUUCUUACCUCAGCCACAAAGUGCCCAAGCCACAUGUACUAAAGGUUGAAAUCAGAGACAUGUACAGGGUAUUAAACAGAUACCAAGGGGAACAGUUAACUUGAAUAUAGCUUGAAUAGAAAGUCAAAAUCAGCAACAAGUCUACAAUCCAGUGCUGAUAUCAGAUACAAGCUUCAAGGACAACUUUCUGUGUAUGUUUUUUUUUUUUUUUUUGAGACGUAGUCUCGCCCUGUUGCCCAGGCUGGAGUGCAGUGGUGCAAUCUCGGCUCACCACAACCUCUGCCUCCCAGGUUCAAGUGAUUCUCCUGCCUCAGCCUCCCCAGUAGCUGGGAUUAUAGGCGAAUGCCACCAUGCCUGGCUAAUUUUUGUAUUUUUAGUAGAGACGGGGUUUCAGCAUGUUGGCCAGGCCGGUCUCAAACUCCUGACCUUGUGAUCCACCCGUCUCGGCCUCCCAAAGUGCUGGGAUUAUAGGCGUGAGCCACCACUUCUGGCCACAAAUUUCUUUUUGAAGGCUUAUUCCAGUUUUGUGAGGCUAGCAUGAGGUGUAUGCAUUUGCCAGGGGCAAAUUUAUACUGCUGAAUUAACCCAUGCAACAAAUGCUGCACAUCUGCUCGCAGUCCAUUUAGAGGCAUUUGCGGUAGACAAUGGAGGGGCCAGACUCAUCAUACAUACCUGAUGGCUAACCCACAUGCUUGCAGUCCAUUUAGAGGCAUUUGCAGUGGAUGAUGGAGGGGCCACAUACCUAAUUGCUAAUCCACAUCUGCUGGAAGGUGGACAGUGAGGCCAGGAUGGAACCACCAAUCCACACCGAGUACUUGUGCUCUGGGGGCAUGAUGAACUUGAUCUUCAUGGUGCUGGAUGCCAGCGUGGUGAUGCCAGGGCACAUGGUGGUGCUGCUGGACAGCACUGUGUUGGCGUACAGGUCUUUGCGGAUGUCCACGUCACACUUCAUGAUGGAGUUGAAGGUGGUCUUGUGGAUGCCGCAGGAUUCCAUGCCCAAGAAGGAAGGCUGGAACAGCACCUGCAGACACCAGAACCACUUGUUGCCGAUGGUGAUGACCUGACCUGGCCAUCAGGCAGCUCAUAGCUCUUCUCCAGGGAGGAGGAGGAUGUGGCAGUGGCCAUCUCCUGCUCGAAGUCCAGGGCGAUGUAGCACACCUUCUCGUUGAUGUCGCGCACAAUCUCCUGCUUGGCCGUGAUGGUGAAGCUUGGUGAGGAUCUUCAUGAGGUAGUUGGUCAGGUCCUGGCCAGCCAGGUCCAGACGCAGGAUGGCGUGGUGGGAGGGCAUGGCCCUCGUAGAUGGGUACCAUGUAGGUGGCCCUGUCUCCAGAGUCCAUGACAGUGCCAGUGAUGCGCCCAGAGGCUUAGAGGGACAACACGGCCUGGAUGGCCACAUACAUGGCUGGGGUGUUGAAGGUCUCAAACAUGAUCUGAGUCAUCUUUUCUCUGUUGGCCUUGGGGUUCGAGGGGCCUCGGCCAACAGCACCGGGUGCUUCUCUGGGGUCAUGCACAGCUCGUUGUAGAAGGUGUGGUGCCAGAUCUUCUCCAUGUCAUCCCAGAUGGUGAUGAUGCCAUGCUCGAUAGGGUACUUCAGGGUCAGGAUGUCGUGCUUGCUCUGGGCCUCAUGGCCCAUGUAGGAGUCCUUCUGGCCCAUGCCCACCAUCACACCCUGGUGCCGGGGUCACCUGAUGAUGGAGGGGAACACAGCUCAGGGGCCAUCCAUCCCCAGCAAAGCCAGCUUUGCACAUGCCAGAGCCAUUGUCAAUGAUGAGCGCGGCGAUCUCUAUUUCCAUUGCAACCUGUGGAAGAGCAGGGCGGUGGAGCCAUGGGAAGACACGGUGUGGGGGCUGGUGGCAGCAAGUGACUGUAUUACUGGAUUUUGAAGUUAACAAUUAGCCAAAUACUGAUUUUUGAUGGAAAUUUAUUCUUAAUUAUUUUCUUUUAGAAAAAAAUAGGAAAACAUAUAACAAUAGAAUUACUUAAUUAAAUUGAUUCCUUGGCUGGGUGGCUACGCCUGUAAUCCUAGCACUUUAUGAGGCCGAGGAGGGUGGAUUAGUUGAGGCCAGGAGUUCGAGACCAGCUUGGGAAACAUGGCGAAACCCCAUUUCUACUAAAAAUUCAAAAAUCAGCCAAGCAUGGUGGUGCGUGCCUGUAGUCCCAGCUACCCAGGAGGCUGAGGCAUGAGAAUUGCCUGAGCUUAGGAGGCAGAGAUUGCAGUGAGCCGAGAUUGUGCCACUGCACUCCAGCCUGGCAGUAGAACCAGACCCUGUCUCAAAAACAAAAAAUCUGUCUAGGCUGGGCAUGGUGGCUCACGCUUGUAAUCCCAGCACUUUGGGAGGCUGAGGCAAGUGGAUCACCAGAGGUCAGGAGUUUGAGACCAACCUGGCCAACAUGGUGAAACCCCGUCUCUCCUAAAAAUACAAAAAUUAGCCGGGCAUGGUGGUACAUGCCUAUAAUCCCAGCUACUUGGGAGGCUGAGGCAGGAGAGUGGCUUGAACCUGAGAGGCGGAGGUCGCAGUCAGCUUAGAUUGCACCACUGUAAAGAAAAGAAAAAAAAAAGUCCAUACAUGAGUGUAGGGAAUACUUUGUGAAUUUUUAGACUUUUUAUUAACCACCAGAGAAUAUUUACUACACCUGGGUGUUUUUUAAAGAAUACUGUUCUUAUUCUGAAAUAAGUAGACCGUUUUGCAUAUGAUCAGCCAGUGUCCCUUACACAAUUUAUUUCAUGUAAUUUUCAUCUUUCCCAUGUAAAUCUCAGUUCAGCCACUUAGUGGAUCCAAGUCUCCAGGCAGCUGCCUUAGUCGUUCUGUGUCUCAAGUACUUUUAAUCCAUAUUGUACAGUAAGGUGAAUUUAUAGAUUUCAAGAUCUAUAAAUUCUAUAGAUCUAUAGGUGAAUUUGGGGUGGAGCCAAGAUGGCCGAAUAGGAACAGCUCCAGUCUGCAGCUCCCAGCAUGAGCGAUGCAGAAGACGGGUGAUUUCUGAACUUCCAACUGAGGUACCAGGUUCAUCUCACUGGGGAGUGUCUGACAGUGGGUGCAGGACAGUGGGUACAGUGCACUGAGCGUGAGCCAAAGCAGGGCGAGGCAUUGCCUCACUCGGGAAGCACAAGGGGUCAGGGAAUUCCCUUUCCUAGUCAAAGAAAGGGGUGACAGAUGGCAUCUGGAAAAUCGGGUCACUCCCACCCUAAUACUGCGCUUUUCCAACAGUCUUAGCAAAUAGCUCACCAGGAGAUUAUAUCCCGCCCCUGGCUCGGAGGGUCCUACGCCCACAGAUUCUCGCUCAUUGCUAGCACAGCAGUCUGAGCUCAAACUGCAAGGUGGCAGCGAGGCUGGGGGAGGGGCACCCGCCAUUGCUGAGGCUUGAGUAGGUAAAGCGGCCCGGAAGCUCGAACUGGGUGGAGCCCACUGCAGCUCAAGGAGGCCUGCCUGUCUCUGUAGACUCCACCUCUGGGGGCAGGGCAUUGCCAAACAAAAGGCAGCAGAAUCCUCUGCAGACUUAAAUGUCCCUGUCUGACAGCUUUGAAGAGAGUAGUGGUUCUCCCAGCACGCAGCUGGAGAUCUGAGAAUGGACAGACUGCCUCCUCAAGUGGGUCCCUGACCCCCGAGUAGCCUAACUGGGAGGCACCCCCCAGUAGGGGCAGACAGACACCUCACACGGCCGGGUACUUCUCUGAGACAAAACUUCCAGAGGAAUGAUCAGGCAGCAACAUUUGCUGUUCACCAAUAUCUGCUGUUCUGCAGCCUCUGCUGCUGAUACCCAGGCAAACAGGGUCUGGAGUGGACCUCCAGCAAACUCCAACAUUCCUACAGCUGAGGGUCCUGAUUGUUAGAAGGAAAACUAACAAACAGAAAGGACAUCCACACCAAAACCCCAUCUGUAUGUCACCAUCAUCAAAGACCAAAGGUAGAUAAAACCACAAAGAUGGGGAAAAAACAGAGCAGAAAAAACGGAAAUUCUAAAAAUCAGAGUGCCUAUCCUCCUCCAAAGGAACACAGCUCCUCACCAGCAAUGGAACAAAGCUGGAUGGAGAAUGACGAGUUGAGAGAAGAAGGCUUCAGACAAUCAAACUACUCCAAGCUAAAGGAGGAAGUUCGAACCAAUGGCAAAGAAGUUAAAAACCUUGAAAAAAGAUUAGACAAAUCACUAACUAGAAUAACCAAUGCAGAGAAGUCCUUAAAGGACCUGAUGGAGCUGAAAACCACAGCACAAGAACUAUCUGAUGAAUGCACAAGCCUCAGUAGCCGAUUCGAUCAACUGGAAGAAAGGGUAUCAGUGAUGGAAGAUCAAAUGAAUGAAAUGAAGCGAGAAGAGAAGUUUAGAGAAAAAAGAAUAAAAAGAAACAAAGCCUCCAAGAAAUAUGGGACUAUGUGAAAAGACCAAAUCUACGUCUGAUUGGUGUACCUGAAAGUGACGGGGAGAAUGGAACCAAGUUGGAAAACACUCUGCAGGAUAUUAUCCAGGAGAACUUCCCCAAUCUAGCAAGGCAGGCCAACAUUCAAACACCACAAAGGUACUCCUCGAGAAGAGCAACUCCAAGACACAUAAUUGUCAGAUUCACCAAAGUUGAAAUGAAGGAAAAGAUGUUAAGGGCAGCCAGAGAGAAAGGUCGGGUUACCCACAAAGGGAAGCCCAUCAGACUAACAGCUGAUCUCUUGGCAGAAACUCUACAAGCCAGAAGAGAGUGGGGGCCAACAUUCAACAUUCUUAAAAGAAUUUUCAACCCAGAAUUUCAUAUUCAGCCAAACUAAGCUUCAGAAGUGAAGGAGAAAUAAAAUCCUUUACAGACAAGCAAAUGCUGAGAGAUUUUGUCACCACCAAGCCUGCCCUAAAAGAGCUCCUGAAGGAAGCACUAAACAUGGAAAGGAACAACUGGUACCAGCCACUGCAAAAACAUGCCAAAUUGUAAAGACCAUUGAGGCUAGGAAGAACCUGCAUCAACCAACGAGCAAAAUAACCAGCUAACAUCAUAAUGACAGGAUCGAAUUCACACAUAACAAUACUAACCUUAAAUGUAACUGGGCUAAAUGCUCCAAUUAAAAGACACAGACUGGCAAAUUGGAUAAAGAGUCAAGACCCAUCAGUGUGCUGUAUUCAGGAAACCCAUCUCACCUGCAGAGACACACAUAGGCUCAAAAUAAAGGGAUGGAGGAAGACCUACGAAGCAAAUGGAAAACAAAAAAAGGCAGGGGUUGCAAUCCUAGUCUCAUAUAAAACAGACUUUAAACGAACAAAGAUCAAAGGAGACAAAGAAGGCCAUUACAUAAUGGUGAAGGGAUCAGUUCAACAAGAAGAGCUAACUAUCCUAAAUAUAUAUGCACCCAAUACAAGAGCACCUAGAUUCAUAAAGCAAGUCCUUAGAGACCUACAAAGAGACUUAGACUCCCACACAAUAAUAAUGGGAGACUUUAACACCCCACUGUCAACAUUAGACAGAUCAACGAGACAGAAGUUAACAAGGAUAUCCAGGAAUUGAACUCAGCUCUGCACCAAGUGUACCUAAUAGACAUCUACAGAACUCUCCACCCCAAAUCAACAGAAUAUACAUUCUUUUCAGCACCACACCACACCUAUUCCAAAAUUGACCACAUAGUUGGAAGUAAAGCACUCCUCAGCAAAUGUAAAAGAACAGAAAUUAUAACAAACUGUCUCUCAGACCACAGUGCAAUCAAACUAGAACUCAGGAUUAAGAAACUCACUCAAAACCGCUCAACUACAUGGAAACUGAACAACUGGCUCCUGAAAGACUACUGGGUACAUAACGAAAUGAAGGCAGAAAUAAAGAUGUUCUUUGAAACCAACGAGAACAAAGACAUAACAUACCAGAAUCUCUGGGACACAUUCAAAGCAGUGUGUAGAGGGAAAUUUAUAGCACUAAAUGCCCACAAGAG